rnacentral:rRNA from 1 species
GGUCAAGUUAUUAAGGGUGCAGGGCGGAUGCCUUGGCACUAGGAGCCGAUGAAGGACGUGAUAAGCUGCGAUAAGCUUCGGGGAGUUGCACGUAAACUUUGAUCCGAAGAUUUCCGAAUGAGGAAACUCACUUAGAGUAAUGUCUAAGUAUCAUUAAGUGAAUACAUAGCUUAAUGAGGGGAACUCAGGGAACUGAAACAUCUAAGUACCUGAAGGAAGAGAAAGAAAUUCGAUUCCGUAAGUAGCGGCGAGCGAACGCGGAUUAGCCCAAACCAAUAAAGUUUUCUUUAUUGGGGUUGCGGACAUAUCAUAACGAAGAGGUAUCGUAAUUGAAGAGGUUUGGAAAGACCCACCACAGAAGGUAAUAGUCCUGUAUGUUAAACGAGAAGACUUUAGAUAUGAUCCAGAGUACCACGGGACACGUGAAACCCUGUGGGAAGCAGGAGGGACCACCCUCCAAGGCUAAAUACUACCUAGUGACCGAUAGCGUAUAGUACCGUGAGGGAAAGGUGAAAAGAACCCCGGGAGGGGAGUGAAAUAGAACCUGAAACCCUGCACUUACAAGCUGUGGAAGCACAUUUCUUGUGUGACCGCGUACUUUUUGUAGAACGGGCCAACGAGUUACGUUAAGUAGCAAGGUUAAGCACUUAAGGUGCGGAGCCGUAGCGAAAGCGAGUUUUAACUGAGCGUUCAGUUACUUGACGUAGACCCGAAACCGGGCGACCUACCCAUGAGCAGGAUGAAGCGAAAGUAAAAUUUCGUGGAGGUCCGAACCCACGAGCGUUGAAAAGCUCGGGGAUGACUUGUGGGUAGCGGUGAAAUUCCAAUCGAGCCCGGAGAUAGCUGGUUCUCCCCGAAAUAGCUUUAGGGCUAGCCUCAAGGUGAGAGAUACGGAGGUAGAGCACUGAAUGUCCUAGGGGGUAUUGCACCUACCGAAGACUAUCAAACUCCGAAUGCCGUCAUCUUAUACUUGGGAGUCAGACUGUGGGUGAUAAGAUUCAUAGUCGAAAGGGCAACAGCCCAGAUCGUCAGCUAAGGUCCCUAAAUGUAAGUUAAGUGGUAAAGGAUGUGGGAUUGCACAGACAACCAGGAUGUUGGCUUAGAAGCAGCCACUCAUUCAAAGAGUGCGUAAUAGCUCACUGGUCGAGUGAUCCUGCGCCGAAGAUUUCCGGGGCUAAAACUUACUACCGAAGCUACGGCAUCAGUAAUGAUGGGUAGGGGAGCUUCCCAUACGGGUUGAAGCAUGACCGUAAGGACAUGUGGACAGUAUGGGAGUGAGAAUGUUGGCAUGAGUAGCGAGAUGUGGGUGAGAAUCCCACAGGCCGUAAACCCAAGGUUUCCAGGGGAAGGUUCGUCCGCCCUGGGUUAGUCGGGACCUAAGCUGAGGCCGAAAGGCGUAGGUGAUGGACAACAGGUUGAUAUUCCUGUACUACCGAUAACCGUUUGAGAGAAGGGAUGACACAGUAGGAUAAGCUAAGCACACUGUUGGUUAUGUGUGCCCAAGCAUUGAGGCAGUCAAAGUAGGCAAAUCCGCUUUGAUAAUGCUGGGAUGUGAUGGGGAGCGAAAUUUAGUAGCGAAGUAGCUGAUUUCACACUGUCAAGAAAAGUCUCUAUCGAGGUUAAAGGUACCCGUACCGCAAACCGACACAGGUGGGUGAGGAGAGUAUCCUAAGGCCAGCGAGAGAACUGUUGUUAAGGAACUCGGCAAAAUGACCCCGUAACUUAGGGAUAAGGGGUGCCACCAUCAGGUGGCCGCAGAGAAUAGGCCCAAGCGACUGUUUACCAAAAACAUAGGUUUCUGCUAAGUCGCAAGACGAUGUAUAGGAGCUGACGCCUGCCCGGUGCUGGAAGGUUAAGGGGAUCUGUUAGAGCAAUCGAAGCAGUGAACUUAAGCCCCAGUAAACGGCGGCCGUAACUAUAACGGUCCUAAGGUAGCGAAAUUCCUUGUCGGGUAAGUUCCGACCCGCACGAAAGGCGUAACGAUUUGGGCACUGUCUCAACAACAGACUCGGUGAAAUUGUAAUUCCGGUGAAGAUGCCGGAUACCUGCGACAGGACGGAAAGACCCCAUGGAGCUUUACUGUAGCUUGACAUUGGGUCUUGGUACUACAUGUACAGGAUAGGUGGGAGGCUUUGAAACCAGGACGCCAGUUUUGGCGGAGCCAUCCUUGGGAUACCACCCUUGUAGUACUGGGACUCUAACCAUAG